AUUGCUUCUCAGCCUUUUGGCUAAGAUCAAGUUCUGUUCUUAUUUUUGUUUUUAUCAAUUUAAUAGCUGAUAUAUUCUUUAUCUGAGGAAAAUAUAUUAAAUAGAUUUUUGGAAUUAGGAGAUGGAAUAGGAGCUUGCUCUGUCUACUCCACCCAUUGACCUGGUAUUGCAGUACUUCCAGGAACAGUACAGAAAGA
rnacentral:snRNA from 1 species